CUCCAGCUGACGAGUCCCAAACAGGACGAAACGCGCGUCCUGGAU
rnacentral:hammerhead_ribozyme from 1 species